UGCACCCAUGGCACAGGGAAGUUCCCAGGCUAGGGGCUGAAUCGGAGCUAUAGCUGCUGGCCUACACACCAUGGCUCACGGCAAGGCCAGAUCCUUAACCCACUGGAUGAGGCCAGAGAUCGAACCUGCGUCCUCGUGGAUACUAGUCGGGAGGCAGGCGAUUCUCAUGCCAAGCAAAGCUUGAGAGAAGCACUGACUUAGUAACUUGCCAAAGCCAAACAACCUAAGUGGCAGAGUCAACGUGGAAGGUUUGUGCUGAGUGUUGGAAACUGUCCCCUCCACUUUGGGUAAUUAACGAGGAGCCAGGCUUGGGCGAAUCAGGUUACUACCUGCAAUACAGGUACUACAUCCUGAGAUCAGGAUCAGACACUCUCAAACCCUGGUCUGUUCCCAGAGACUCUGCCUCUCAAUGGGCAGAGUCCUGAACUGCCUAACUCGGCUUCCCACCUUUUAGGCACAUGGAGGGACACUGGGCACCAACGACCUCAAUGUACUCAAGUCACGAGUACAAGGAGACUCUAGUUCAAGUAUGUAAAUCACCUUAUUUCAUUGCCAUAUAGAUGAGUGAGAAGGAAAUUAAGGACCAACAGAGCGUACUUUGUACCAGACACUGAGCUAAGGGCACUAGCCCACUGCUAAUGACAGAAGUUUCUGUGUGAUCUAAUGUGGUAACCACUAGCCACGUGUGGCUAAGGAGCACUUGAAAUGCAUGACUGAGGGAUUCAAUUUUUAGUUUCAUUUAAAUUUGUAUUCAUUUAAAUGUUGAUGGCCCCGAGCAGCCAGUGGCUAUUUCUUGUGUUAGAAAGGAUAGUGCUAGAUGCCUUUUCUUAUUUAAAUUUUCCCCCAAACCUAUGAGGGGUGAGGCUAAUAUUGUGCCCAUUGUGCAGAUGGCAAAACUGAGGCUCAGGCUCAGAGAGGCUAAAUCAUGAGCCCAAAGCCACAGAGCCUGUUAGUUAGUGGUGGGGCUGGGGUCCUAACCCAAGUCUGCUCUUACUCCAGAUGUCCUAGGCACCAAAGCACUCGGCUGCCAUGGGUUAGGUAGGUUUUGGGGGCAGCUGCUCAGACAUUUCCCUCAGCAAAGGCAAUGGCCAUGAUCAUAGGGCCCCUAAAAAUGGCUGCAUCUGAACGUCUCAUUCUCCAGGCCACAGCCAGUGCUGGUAUCCUCUUGGCAGCCGUCAAUGACUGGAUGUUUGGACACUAUUCUCCUGUUAUUAAAUGCGCAUUUUCCACUUAAAAAUAAGGAGUUUCCGUCACAAAUUAUUUAUAUGGAAAUGAUACUACUUCUGGCAGAGAAACAGGAAUAGAAGCUUUUUACUGUUUCUUUCAAGAUUGGGCGGGGGGGAAGCCUGUACCGAUAUUAUAUUCAUCUUUCCAUGUGUGGUCUUUGAAAGUCCGCCCACCCCAGACUUUGUACCCCAACCUCACCACUGCCAUGGUGAGAAACGGCUUCUAGGAUCUCAGGCAGCUAUGAGCAGCCUCCACCUCUCUCCCCACAACAGGCCAGCAGCACAGGAGCCUCCCCAACCCCGCCCUCCAUCCAAGAUGCUGGCGCCUCCACCCAGAAACCCGACCAAAGGGCAUCACUGAGAUUCUACGAACACACUCCAGACCUGCCUCCAUCCCAGCUCCCCCAUCUCCCGACCCAGGGGGGCGAUGUGGCAUGGGAGGAAAGGGCUAGAUCUUGCAGGCCAGGCUGACAGGGCCCAGAUGUGCUGUGCCAUCCUGGGGAGGUGGCUCACCCUCUCUGAACUUCACUUAUCUCCAGGGGUAAAAUGGGAAGAGCAAUGACGCCGCACACAACUGCUCUGAGCAUGUGACCCUGUGCCUGGGAACAUGUGAGUUUCCCACCAUCCCUCCUUUCUAACCUUCAGUCACAUCCUGACGCUUCUUUCAGGUCUGUCUUAGAGCUAAUCUUCCCCCUGCCCCCAGCACCCCCCGCCAGCUUCACCCGUGGCAUGUGAAAGUUCCCAGGCACGGCAUGGAACCCCCGCGACAGCAGCAACGACCAGGGCCACUGCAGGGACAAUGCUGUGUCCUGAACCUGCUGCACCCCAGGAGAACUCCCAGAUCUAACCUUAUUUAAAAGAUGUCUGCCCUCCAGGUCAACGUGUGUUCUGUUUUGUAUACUGUAGAUUCCCAAUCUACGCCUGCACCACUGCAAAGAUGCCCACCGUCGUUCGGCAGACAGACAACUGUCACAUUUCUGACAUGGACUGUGAGCCUGGACUUGAGUCCUGAGCUUCAGAUCUCUGCCUGUCCUGCUUUUCCUCCCAUGGUGCAACCAGCUCAUGGCCCGGCACACAACAGGGGCCCAAAUAAGCAUGCGUGGAAUUUCUGUAAAGACUGGGGCCAACCUAUAAUGAGCAGAUCCAGCCAUCUCUUCCUUCAGGUGUUCAAUUACUAUUUAUUAAGUGCCUACGGCAUCUACUAAGGGUCAGGGAAGGAUCCUGGUCCUCAGCACUCAAGGACCCAAAGGAACAAAACCCUGUGCCUUGAGAGCAUCGCCUUCCAGCAGGAAGCGGGAGGAGAGAAUCACCAAAGGAAAAGAGAAAAUAGAGAAACCCUGUCCUUCCAAAGGCAAGAGAUGCUGCUGAUACAAACUACAGAGCAAAGCACGAGUUGCCGUCAUGGCGCAGUGGUUAACGAAUCCGACUAGGAACCAUGAGGUUGCGGGUUCAAUCCCUAGCCUUGCUCAGUGGGUUAAGGAUCCGGCCUUGAUGUGAGCUGUGGUGUAGGUCACAGACAUGGCUGGGAUCCCGCGUUGCUGUGGCUCUGGUGUAGGCCGGCAGCUACAGCUCUGAUUAGACCCCUAGCCUGGGAACCUCCAUAUGCUGAGGGAGCAGCCCUAGAAAAGGCCAAAAAAAAAAAAAAAAAAAAAACCCUACAGAGGAAAGGAAAGCAGAGCAGACUCCAGAAGGGCAAUGUUCAGGAAGAAAUCUGCAAAUGUAAACAGGGUGGCCAGGAAAGGAGGCCCUGCAAAGGGGGUACAUGAGCACAGAUUUAGGGGAGCUGAGAGACCUACAGUUUAGAUACGAACUUAACUUUGAAAAAAAAAAUCAUAAGCUGAAGAAAUGCCUGAUGAUAUACACAGGAGGAUGUUAGAAAAGAAAGAACACGUUCAUUUCUCGGACUAAGCUCUCUUCCCAGGUCUCCAUCUAUUUUAAUGCCAGCUAAUGCCUACUGGGUGCUUAUCACACGCCUGGCAAUGCCCAAGUAUUUUCUGUAGGUGAGUCCACUGCCAAGGGAAGAGGGUCAGAGCACGGAUGGAAACCAUCGAUGAUGCCAGGCAGGCAUGCUAAGGAGCAGGCUUGGCAGGACAACAGGAAGCAGUGGGGAAGGUGGUGCCCCAGGACCACACGACAAAACAGGCUGAGGGUUUUGGACCUUCUGCCUUUACGAGCGAGGCCGGAAAUCGGGAUUUUUGGGUGAAUUUCCCAAUUUCAAAUUUUUAAACAUUGGCAAGCAAUUACAAGUUUUUGAGGGCAUUUCAGUGAUGGCUCAGUGGUGACGAACCCAGCGAGGAUCCAUGAGGACUCAGGUUCGAUCCCUCGCCUCCCUCAGUGGGUUAAGAAUCCAGCGUUGCCGUGAUCUGUGGUGUAGGUCGCAGACACAGCUUGGAGCCCACGUUGCUGUGGCUGUGGUGUAGGCCAGCGGCCGCCUCGCCGAUUCAGUCCCUAGCCUGGGAACUCACAAAUAUCGCAGGCACGGACCUAAAAACCAACACACACAAAUAAACAAAAAAGAAGUUUUUGAAACAUCCAAUGGGUCCAAAAGAACUUUUUUUGAUUACUAUUUUCAGAGACAUAGUUGGUCUGAACAGAGAACUCUGGGAGAGAAGUCAGGAACUAAAAAUGUUUGCGAGGAUCCCAUCAAACAGCCAGGGGGCCGCAUCCUGAGAAGAGGUGUAAUUCGUAGGUGAAAACGGUCUCAUCUCCUGGGACCUCUUGUGGGCCUGCCCAGGGGUCUGUGAGCUGUGGUAUCUGGCAAA
rnacentral:lncRNA from 1 species